UAAUCCCCAUAGCCCUUCUUGUAUCUCUAUCGUCAUCCUCUAUAACCCUUCGUAUAACCCUCCUCAACCCUAGUGAAAUCCGGUCGUAAUCCUCCUCUAUUCCUCUGUAAUCUGUUCGAUUUUCCUUCUCUUUUCUUUGUAUUAUUCCUCAUUUUCGGCUCUAUUUUUGUUUCCCCCUCGAAAUGGUUCUCUUUCACUCCCUGAUUGGUUUUAUGACCGGUUGUCGCUUAUGCGUGUUGCCUCAGAAACUUCCCGCCUUCCUCUCUAUCUUUCCAUUCACGAUUUUACUGUAACAGUUGGUACACCAAUGUAGCCUUGUCGCUUGGAUAUAGCCUUGCCGCUCCAAUUUGGACUUUGCGUCACUUUCGUUUUGACCCAAAGCCACAUCAAGUGACAAAUGCUACACCAAGUUGAACGAAAGACGAGUAGGGCCUCAGCAGAGCACGGUAGGGGUUUUCGGUCAACAUCGAAGGUUUGUGUAGCCCAUGAUGAGUUCGUUGUUGGUGGGCACUCUCUGAUUCCUUUUUCACAUCAUCAAAAUUUUUGCUUGGUUGUUUUUGGUUUUUUGACAUACAUUUUUUUGCUCAACUCCUUUUCUUGCUUCGUUCUAUAUUGUAUUCAAUUUUGUUUUCUUUUUCCUUUCAAUGAAAUGCAUUUGUGUUUGAAUCCCCCCCGACCACUUUAAUCUUUUUCCAUCCACAUGUAUGCCUUCCAUUUUGGUAUUAUUUGUUGUGGCUGCAAUUUUUUCCAUCUGCAUUCCAUUCGAUCUUGUUUCGAGCCUAUUGUUUUUUAAUUUGCUUUGUUACUUUUUUUCAUUGUAUGAUACUAGUUUGCAUAUGAAAUGUUUUAUAUUAUGUUUUCAACAAGUUCUAUGCUUCAUCAAUGAGUUCCUUUCUAUUUCAACACCCCCCAAGUUAUCUAUGUUGUCCUAAUCUAAUGUAUGGUUUGCGAUCGAAUCAAUUGGUUUCACUGCCUUUCUUUCUUAUUGUUCCAAUCUGAUUUGCUCACUGCUUGUUGGUUCUUCAUAACUUUGUCAAUUCCACUGCCCAUCUCUGCUUGUGUCAAUAUUAUCAUGUCUGUUGUUUACUGUGUACAUAUGCUGCUAUAGUUUUGCAUACCUAAUUUCCUAAUUUCUUUAGUUUAGGUCUUCAAGUUUGAUUAUCAUUUUCCAUUGUCACAUUCAAUUGCCAUAUCCCCUAUUUUCUAGGAUACUUGUUGGUUCUUUCAUGCUUUGGUAUCCUAUUUAUUACCAUUUUUCCUUGACUAUAUAUAUGGCCUCUAGUUUCUAUUCCAUUCCAUUGCUUCAUUAUAAUGUUAGCUUGAAUUAUUAGUUACUAUUAUUUCAAGUUCUUUAUCUGUCUGUGUUGUCCCUAUGGUUCAUCCAUCUAUUGUAGUUUUAAAGCAUGAAAACUGUUGAAAAAAACUUUAUACACACGCUUUUUGCCAUUGCUUGCUUUGUAUUUACUUAUGAUGUCGUUAUGUCCACCACACAAAAUUCUACCGCAACAAAAUUCUUCUUGAAUGACUUUGCGUGAAUUUCUUAACUUUGAGGCUACUUCCUUUCCCUUACAUUAUUUACUAAUGCUUCUGUAUUUUAUUAUACCGUUGUAUGGAUUUGUAAGGGCAAAGUUCGGUUAAGGCAUGUUCUCAUAACUUUUCUUUAUUUUUCCCAUUAUGUAAUCUAUAACGACCAGCUUAGAUAUGUUUUGUAAUCAUUUGUUUCAUAUUAGAUAUGUUUUGUAAUCUUUGGUUUCUUAAUUUAGGUUGUAGCACACUACAAAAAAAGGGACCAUUAUGACAGUUGAAUCCAUCCAAAAUUGUAAGGAGGGAAGAAAUAAAUGUCAUCAAAUGUUAAAAACCGCAUUUUUGGAGGGAAAAUAUGGAAUUUUUUGGAUUUGAAGAAUUUAUGACAGUUUUUAAGUGUUAUGAAUCUAUGACAAUUUUUAAAUGUCAAUAAUAUAAAUAAUCAAAUUAUAAAUAUUUAUUUUAAAUUACAUAAAAAGAAAGAAAAAGAAGAGAGAGGGAAUUGAAGUUUCUUUUUCGUUAAAGCACCCGCUCUUGUUCUCUCGUCGAUUGCUUCGUCACCAUCUUCUUCCUCUUCUUCUUCCUCCGCUAAGGCACAACAACAACAAUGCAGCCAAUUUUCUUGCUCCUUCCUGUUCUCCCUCUGAACCUCUCUCCCUUGUCAAUUCAAGCUCUCCCUCGUCGGUUCUUACACUCAUGGUAUUGUAUCUGUAAGUUUUUCUAAUCCCUUUAGCUGCUGAGAUCUUGUGGAAAUGUAAAACAAGGUUUGGGUUAUCUGAUAUUUACUGACCCAUUUUUUGCUUUUUGGUUUUUGCUAUUCUUGGAUGAAGCUACUAAUCUGGGAUGCUGCUCACUUUUUGAAUAUCUUCUCAUGUUCUUCUGUUUAGACUUGUUUCUCUUUUUGUUACAACAGAUGGGUUGAUUUUGAUAGUUACUUUAGGACUAAGAGAAAUGUUAUUUUCUUAAUUGGUCAUUUCUAGGGUGAUUUACUAUUAGUUUAUCAUUUGAAUUAUCAUGGAGAAUUGAAAUUAGAAGAUCUGGGAUUCUGCUAACUCCAUUUUCUUCUUUAAUGGCAGAAUUAUAGACAAUUCUUCCAAGUUUUAGCCUGAACUUUUUCAGUUUGUUAUGUCCUCUUCUUGCCCACAAAUAACUUGAACCUCUUCCUUUGAAUUAUACUUUAUUUCCCUAUUUGUUUUGAAAAUUUGGCAUUAUUGUCCAUGUUUUCUACUACGUUUGGAUUGGUAACUGAUAGCUGAAGAGUCAAUGUGUUGUCUGUUUCAGAAGUCAUGAGUUGGUUUUGCUCAUUAUGUAAUGGUGAGAAGAGGGAAAAACCACUAAACUUAACACCAUUUAUGUCGAUCAAUUCCACAAAUGUUGACAUUGAAGUUGGAAGGUCUGGUUCUGAACUUAAUUUUUUCUUCAUUAAUUUCAUUUGAAAAUAUCUUAGUAAAGAAAGUACAUUGGCAAUUCCAUGAAAGUUAAAGAUGGUGGUGACUGGUGUGCUGUUAUAUCGAGGGUUUUUAAUUUUUCUUUCAUACUUUCACAGGAGAUCUAGAAUAUUCUUUUGUACACAUUUUCAAGUCUUAUAAGUAUAACUUAUAUGAGACAAUUUUUGGGAUUGAAUGCUUCAUCUUAUAUGUCUCUCAUACAUCAUAUCUGCAAAAGUAUGUUCCAAACCCAAAUGUUAUAUGGCAAACGAUUACAAGCUAUUUUGAACUUAUUAUGCUGAAAUAUCAUAGACCCUAGGGUUUGCAAGUAAGCACCAUUCAUUAUAGGAUGAUUUGAGUAACUUAUAUUCUCCAAUAUUGUUAUUUAGCAAUUUUUACUACAUUUAGGUUCCAUUGGGAGCAAAUGGAUGUGCGUAUUUCCCUUUUGAGGAACUUUGUGACAAGCCUCUAGGAGUUGCAGAUUACUUCGACACUACAAGAAAAACCACCUACUAUGACAAUUGGUUUCAUCCCAAAUUGAAGGAGGAAAAUAAUAACUACCAUAAAAUGUCAAAAAACGCGUUUUUGGCGGGAAAAGACGGAAUUUUUCGAAUUUGAAGAAUUUAUGACAGUUUUUUUAACUGUCAUGAAUCUAUGACAGUUUUUAAAUGUCAUUAAAUAUAAAUUUUCAAAUUAUAUGUAUUUAUUUUAAAUUACAUAAAAAGAAAGAAAAAAGAAGAGAGAGUGAAUUGGAGUUUUUUUUUUAAUUAAAGUGCCUCCUCUCAUUAUUGCUCCAUCACCAUCUACUUCCUCUUCUUCUUCCUCGGCUAGGACACAACAACAACAUUGCAGCAUCCCAAAUUUCGUGCUCCUUCCUCUUCUCCUUCUGAACCUUCUCCCUUGUCGAUUAAAGCUCUCCCUCGUCGGCUUUCCUCUCCAAAAAUCGUCAGCAACAAUGGAGGGACAGAUGUUUUGGUUGGUUUUGUUACUAUUUUCUCACUUUUUAGAUUUUUUUGUGUGGAGAGGAGAAGACAACGCCCUUUUCUCUCUUUCUCUCUCUAUCUCUCUCUAAAAAACCCACUUACACAACCCAUUCUCUUCACCCAUCCACCCAUUUUCUUCACCCAUCACCCGAUAUUCACAACUGCGGCCCCCACCCCUUGAACGUCAAAUGCCAGCUUUGGAACUGAGUGCUCGAAAGGAUUAUGAGGCGGCUCAGAUUGAGGCUGUGAAGCACAUCAGUUUGGGGUCAUGUGAUCCUGAUAACACUCCAGUUGAAGUUAUUGCCUUCAGAUAUUGGCUUUAGAAAUCUUAUAUUAAAAGGCCAAUGGUAAUUGUUGGACCAAGUCUUGGUGCUGCUGUUGCUAUUCAUUUUGUUGUCAAUUAUCCAGAAGCUGUUGAUAGGCUUGUGUUGAUUGAUGCAAGUGUAUAUGCAAAAGGUACAGGAAACUUAGCUACCUUACCAAGAUUGAUUGCCUAUGCUGGGUGUGUAAGAAAUAAGGUUGGAGAUUCAAAAGGGAAGUAGAGGACUUAAAAGAGGAGUGGAGUACAAAGAAAUAAGGUAGGAUUUAUACCAAUCUUUGAUUUUUGUCAUUUUUUUGUUGAUUUAUGUGUUGUUUUUCUUGUCAAUUUAGGAUUAAUUCCUCAUAUUACAUUAGUUUUUAAUAUGGAUAAGGCCUUAUCUUCUUAUAGGGUGGAUUGUUGAGAUUUAAUAUUGGUUUCUAUUUUCAUCUCUACCGGCUAUACAUGCUUGUAAUUAUGCAAAGCCCAUAUAUUUGCCUACGGAGGUCUUGCACGAAUCUGAUCUACUAUAGUGGUGAAGCUACCAAAAGGCGUGGUGCAGAUAGUGCUAAGUCAUUAAAACCUUAUUAACAAGACCAUUUCAGAACUUGAAUCCGAACUAAGCUGUCUUGGAAGGCCUAUUGCAAAUGAUGUUGGGGUUUUGCCAGAAUCCAUUGGAGCAGGGGAGCCAUAUUUGCGACAAUUCAUUAAUGUAUAGGCAUUUUUGUAGGUUUGGUAGGAAAAUUUCUAGUUUAAAUGUAGUUAUUUAAAUAGUUUGUUUAUAACAAACCAUAUAUGUACCAACACUUAAAACAAUACUAUAAAAUGUAUGUUUCUUUAUAUUAAAGCGUUCACCGUUUCUUUCCGUA